GUCGGUGUACUCUUAACUGGUAAAGCGGCGCCUGAUGGUUUUUUCCUGAGGGAUGUUUAUGCGGGUUCGACCCCCGCCACCGACC
rnacentral:tRNA from 2 species